AUUGAACGCUGGCGGCAGGCCUAACACAUGCAAGUCGAACGGUAACAGGAAGCAGCUUGCUGCUUUGCUGACGAGUGGCGGACGGGUGAGUAAUGUCUGGGAAACUGCCUGAUGGAGGGGGAUAACUACUGGAAACGGUAGCUAAUACCGCAUAACGUCGCAAGACCAAAGAGGGGGACCUUCGGGCCUCUCGCCAUCGGCUGUGCCCAGAUGGGAUUAGCUAGUAGGUGGGGUAACGGCUCACCUAGGCGACGAUCCCUAGCUGGUCUGAGAGGAUGACCAGCCACACUGGAACUGAGACACGGUCCAGACUCCUACGGGAGGCAGCAGUGGGGAAUAUUGCACAAUGGGCGCAAGCCUGAUGCAGCCAUGCCGCGUGUAUGAAGAAGGCCUUCGGGUUGUAAAGUACUUUCAGCGGGGAGGAAGGGAGUAAAGUUAAUACCUUGGCUCAUUGACGUUACCCGCAGAAGAAGCACCGGCUAACUCCGUG
rnacentral:rRNA from 1 species